rnacentral:rRNA from 1 species
ACGAACGCUGGCGGCGUGCUUAACACAUGCAAGUCGAGCGGAAAGGCCCUUCGGGGUACUCGAGCGGCGAACGGGUGAGUAACACGUGAGUAACCUGCCCCAGACUUUGGGAUAACCCUCGGAAACGGGGGCUAAUACCGGAUACGACACAGCUUCGCAUGGGGUCUGUGUGGAAAGUUUUUCGGUUUGGGAUGGGCUCGCGGCCUAUCAGCUUGUUGGUGGGGUGAUGGCCUACCAAGGCGACGACGGGUAGCCGGCCUGAGAGGGCGACCGGCCACACUGGGACUGAGACACGGCCCAGACUCCUACGGGAGGCAGCAGGGGGGAAUAUUGCACAAUGGGCGGAGGCCUGAUGCAGCGACGCCGGGUGAGGGAUGACGGCCUGCGGGUUGUAAACCUCUUUCAGCAGGGACGAAGCGUAAGUGACGGUACCUGCAGAAGAAGCGGCGGCCAACUACGU